GAUGAAGAACGUAGUGAAUUGCGAUAUGUAAUGUGAAUUGCAGAAUUCAGUGAAUCAUCGAAUCUUUGAACGCAUAUUGCACCCUCUGGUAUUCCGGAGGGUAUGCCUGUUUGAGUGUCAUUAUUGUCUCAAACCAAAGGAAUUUUUUUUCUUUGUGAUUUGGAUGUUGAAGGUUUGCUGGCUGUUUCUGUCAGCUCCUUUUAAAUGCAUUAGCAGGACUUGUGCAGUACCAGCUCUGGUUUGAUACAUUGAUAUCUGAGCUAUUGCUGGAACUGCUCUCGGUUCCGCUUCUUAACUGUCUGCACUGGCUGUGGACUUGUCCAACUGGGCAAAAUUAAUGAUAAAUUGACCUCAAAUCAGGUAGGACUACCCGCUGAACUUAAGCAUAUCAAUAAGCGGAGGA
rnacentral:misc_RNA from 1 species